CCUACGGGAGGCAGCAGUGGGGAAUAUUGGACAAUGGGGGGAACCCUGAUCCAGCCAUGCCGCGUGUGUGAAGAAGGCCCUCGGGUUGUAAAGCACUUUCAGUGAGGAAGAACGCCUGGUGGUUAAUACCCAUCAGGAAAGACAUCACUCACAGAAGAAGCACCGGCUAACUCCGUGCCAGCAGCCGCGGUAAUACGGAGGGUGCGAGCGUUAAUCGGAAUUACUGGGCGUAAAGCGCGCGUAGGUGGCUUGAUAAGCCGGUUGUGAAAGCCCCGGGCUCAACCUGGGAACGGCAUCCGGAACUGGCAAGCUAGAGUGCAGGAGAGGAAGGUAGAAUUCCCGGUGUAGCGGUGAAAUGCGUAGAGAUCGGGAGGAAUACCAGUGGCGAAGGCGGCCUUCUGGACUGACACUGACACUGAGGUGCGAAAGCGUGGGUAGCAAACAGGAUUAGAUACCCCAGUAGUC
rnacentral:rRNA from 1 species